rnacentral:rRNA from 1 species
AUUGAACGCUGGCAGCAUGCCUUACACACGCAAGUCGAACGGUAACAGGUCUUCGGAUGCUGACGAGUGGCGAACGGGUGAGUAAUACAUCGGAACGUGCCCGAGAGUGGGGGAUAACGAGGCGAAAGCUUUGCUAAUACCGCAUACGAUCUCAGGAUGAAAGCAGGGGACCGCAAGGCCUUGCGCUCACGGAGCGGCCGAUGGCAGAUUAGGUAGUUGGUGGGAUAAAAGCUUACCAAGCCGACGAUCUGUAGCUGGUCUGAGAGGACGACCAGCCACACUGGGACUGAGACAAGGCCCAGACUCCUACGGGAGGCAGCAGUGGGGAAUUUUUGACAAUGGGCGCAAGCCUGAUCCAGCCAUGCCGCGUGCAGGAUGAAGGCCUUCGGGUUGUAAACUGCUUUUGUACGGAACGAAAAGACUCUGGUUAAUACCUGGGGUCCAUGACGGUACCGUAAGAAUAAGCACCGGCUAACUACGUGCCAGCAGCCGCCGUAACAC